UGCCUAACACAUGCAAGUCGUACGAGAAACACGUCCUUCGGGGCGUGGAGUAAAGUGGCGCACGGGUGAGUAACACGUGGGUAACCUGCCCUUGGAACCGGGAUAACUGGCCGAAAGGCCCGCUAAUACCGGAUAAGACUUCAUGAGCUUCGGCUCAUGCGGCCAAAGUCGGCCUCUCGAAGAAGCCGGCGCCUGAGGAUGGGCCCGCGGACCAUAGCUAGUUGGUGAGGUAACGGCUUACCAAGGCCGAGAUGGUUAGCUGGUCUGAGAGGAUGAUCAGCCACACUGGAACUGAGAUACGGUCCAGACUCCUACGGGAGGCAGCAGUGAGGAAUAUUGCGCAAUGGAGGCAACUCUGACGCAGCAACGCCGCGUGGGUGAAGAAGGCUUUCGGGUUGUAAAGCCCUGUCAGGUGGGAAGAAACCUCUUCUAGUGAAUAGCUAGAGGAACUGACGGUACCACCAAAGGAAG
rnacentral:rRNA from 1 species